CGCUGAGCAUGUUCCAAGACCUCUCCACAUCUGCAGCAGAGAAGCGGAUGAGAUCAAGACCUUCCGGAGAAGCUGCUGUGAAUGGCACGACUGCAGCCUUCUCCAGGAGCUGAAUGCCUGCUGUUGGAAAAGCAGGGCUUAGGUCCACUCCCCCGGUACCCGUGCAGCCCUUGUGCAGACCCUCCAGCCCGCGGAGACGGGAGCCACACUGCGGUCCUCCCUCCAGGGCCCAGCAACCUCUGGCCUAACUCUUACCCAGGGUUAAGUUCUGCAUGACUCCCCUUCUCAUGAUUGUACCAGCCUGACUCUACGGCCGUCAUACGGGAAGUGCCCACGCCUUGGACAUGCUCUUAACUGUGACCAGCAUACGCUUCAACCAGCGAGGCACUGCCUCUCCAUA